GAUCUGGGAAGACUCCAUUUUGACCCAACGGACUUUUCUUCUGGUCUCCUGAGGAAGUCAAGAGGAAGGUCUAAAGAGGAUUUUCCGUGUUGAACUGAGGAAGGAUUCCUGUAUCUAGCUGCUGGCAGCAUUCAAUCUCACUUAGACAUCAGGACUUGCUUGGACAUCUAACAACAAAAGAUCCUGGCUCUGUUUUUUUGGACCCCUGCUGACUAGACUGUUCUUUCCACUGACCAAAACCCUACAAAAGUACGUGUUCUGUUGCUGGCCUAGAGACAAGGAAGGAUGGUCACAUUUGUAUUGCAGGGGCCACCAAAGGGCAACAGGAAAAUAACCACAGAAAGGAACAAAAAAACAAAUCCUUUUCCAGGAAUUGAUAUGAAGUAUUGAAUCCAAGACAGAAGAGCACUAAGGGCUACGAAAUGUCUCUCAAUCCGCUGAAAUGCCUAGCUGCCCCUUCUGUAAGUUUCUUGAUGUUGAACUAUUUGACAGUUCCAGGGACAUCUGGGAUGAACUUUUUUUUCUGUGUCUUCAAAAGCUGUGGUUGUAGCACCUGCAGGGGCAGGUGCUAGGCUGCAACUCCAUAAAGGCUGGUUCCCUUAUUACUUUGCAAAAUCUGUUAUAGUUAUGUGUGCACACCACAUGUUAAUACAUGCCUCAUCUACUGUAUUAUUCUAGAAAUUCUUUAAAAGUGAGCAUAAUGUCUUGUUCAUUUGAAUCCUCCAUUAAGAAAGAGAUAAAACUGCCUUUAUAUCUAUCAAUGUGUAUUCUUUGUUGUAGAGAUGUUACACUCAAAAGUAAAAAUAUAAACAGUACAAAUGUAUUUCUAUAGAAAACAAUGAUCCAUUAAAGUCUCAAAUGUUUAUAGACAAAUGUGCAAAAUAUGAAUGCAGAGAUAUCAAACCAAUACGGGGGUUCUCUGGCCAGCAAAACUCUGGGAACACCUGAAGAUUUGCUUUUAUCAUUUCAGUCAUAUCCGUCUCAUUGUGACCCCCAUUUGGGUUUGUCUUGGCAAAGUCCUGGAAUGGUUUGUCAUUUCCUUCUUCAGCUACUUUUACAGAUGAGGAAACUGAAGAAAACAGGGUUAAGUGAUUUGCCCAGGGUCACCCAGCUAAGUUAGUGAAUAUCUGCGGCCAGAUUUGAACCCUUGCUCUAGGUCCAACACUCCAUUCAGUGCACUACCUAGCUGUCCCACAGUACCUGGAGGCCCAGAUGAAAAUAAUUGAUUUAUAGUAAACAAAACAAAUAAAAAUACAAUAUAA